CCCAUUUCAGCACGUGUCUCCUGUAAGUCUGCCUUCCAGACCUGCCUUAGUUCGAUCAGCAGCUUUCUGAUGUCCCCCUUUGUUGAUGGGGAGUCAUCCUCCUCCGAGUCAGACCUGGGAGUGGGGCCCGGGAGUGAGGCUUGGGAGUCCCUCUCUUCCUGGGAGUCGUCAGAAGUCUCUAUCUCACUCUGCGGUUCCGGCGCCAUCUUGGCGGGCCGCACUUGUGUAGGCCUCUGGAAAGCCAGCCUAAUGUCGGGUGCCGCGGGUCGCUCCGUGUAAGUUUGCUUUUUAUGUUUGCGCCCCAUGUUGUCGGCUGUCGGGUGGCAGGUAAGCUGUGCGUUUUUUGAG